UCCUACGGGAGGCAGCAGUGAGGAAUAUUGGUCAAUGGGCGAGAGCCUGAACCAGCCAAGUAGCGUGCAGGACGACGGCCCUAUGGGUUGUAAACUGCUUUUAUGCGGGGAUAAAGUGGCCUACGUGUAGGCUAUUGCAGGUACCGCAUGAAUAAGGACCGGCUAAUUCCGUGCCAGCAGCCGCGGUAAUACGGAAGGUCCGGGCGUUAUCCGGAUUUAUUGGGUUUAAAGGGAGCGCAGGCGGGAGAUUAAGCGUGACGUGAAAUGUGGCCGCUCAACGGCCGAGCUGCGUCGCGAACUGGUUUUCUUGAGUGAGUACGACGUGGACGGAAUUCGUGGUGUAGCGGUGAAAUGCUUAGAUAUCACGAAGAACCCCGAUUGCGAAGGCAGUCCACGAGUCCUUUACUGACGCUAAAGCUCGAAAGUGCGGGUAUCGAACAGGAUUAGAUACCCUGGUAGUCC
rnacentral:rRNA from 1 species